rnacentral:rRNA from 1 species
UGGCGAACGGGUGAGCAACACGUGGGUAAUCUGCCCUGCACUCUGGGAUAAGCCUGGGAAACUGGGUCUAAUACUGGAUAUGACCUUUCUCCUUAUGGGGUUUGGUGGAAAGUUUUUCGGUGUAGGAUGAGCCCGCGGCCUAUCAGCUUGUUGGUGGGGUGAUGGCCUACCAAGGCGACGACGGGUAGCCGGCCUGAGAGGGUGAUCGGCCACAUUGGGACUGAGAUACGGCCCAG